UGCCAGACUCCUACGGGAGGCAGCAGUGAGGAAUAUUGGUCAAUGGGCUUACGCCUGAACCAGCCAAGCCGCGUGAGGGAAGACGGCCCUAUGGGUUGUAAACCUCUUUUGUCGGAGAACAAAACCCGGGACGUGUCCCGGACUGCGUGUGUCCGAAGAAAAAGCAUCGGCUAACUCCGUGCCAGCAGCCGCGGUAAUACGGAGGAUGCGAGCGUUAUCCGGAUUUAUUGGGUUUAAAGGGUGCGUAGGCGGUCCGUUAAGUCAGCGGUAAAAUUGCGGGGCUCAACUCCGUCGAGCCGUUGAAACUGGUUUUCUUGAGUGAGUGAGAAGUAUGCGGAAUGCGUGGUGUAGCGGUGAAAUGCAUAGAUAUCACGCAGAACUCCGAUUGCGAAGGCAGCAUACCGGCGCUCAACUGACGCUCAUGCACGAAAGUGUGGGUAUCGAACAGGAUUAGAUACCCCAGUAGGU
rnacentral:rRNA from 1 species